rnacentral:lncRNA from 1 species
AUAACAAACAAAUGGCAGAAGAAGGAAAGAAGAUUUCCUUCGGUUUUGCAAAAUCUAUUAAGAAAUCUAUUAAGAAAAAAUGCUAUUCCACAAGAAAAAAAGAAAGUUGAUUACAUUGAAUGCCUUGAUGAAAAAGGUAUUAAAGUAAUAGGUGAGGAAGAAAAAAAAAGAUGAACCUCUAAUUAUUCCAUUACUAGGUUCAAAAACCUGGCAUGAUAGAAUUCUUAAUAAAAUAGAUGCAGACAUUUUCCUUCCGAAGGCAGAUAAGGAAAAGGUAGGAGACGCUAGUGUUAACGAGGCAAAAUCAAAGCUAUCUAAUGGAAAAACAUCGCCAAUAAUAUCAAUAAAGAAAGAGCCAGUUGAAGAUAGUGAAAAUAAAGUUGUUACUUAGAAGAGCAAGCGGCGGAAGAAAUCAUUGAGG